CCCGAAAUAGCUUUAGGGCUAGCCUCAAGGUGAGAGAUACGGAGGUAGAGCACUGAAUGUCCUAGGGGGGAUUGCACCUACCGAAGACUAUCAAACUCCGAAUGCCGUCAUCUUAUACUUGGGAGUCAGACUGUGGGGGAUAAGAUUCAUAGUCGAAAGGGCAACAGCCCAGAUCGUCAGCUAAGGUCCCUAAAUGUAAGUUAAGUGGUAAAGGAUGUGGGAUUGCACAGACAACCAGGAUGUUGGCUUAGAAGCA
rnacentral:rRNA from 1 species